rnacentral:lncRNA from 1 species
AUCACAAAAAAUUGGGAUACAAAAAAUUUCAAUAACAAAAUCCAUCAAUUAUUGCUUGAUCCACAAGAAUUGAGCACAAUCAUAAGGGAACAACAACAUACUCAACUCCAGCUAGGCCCAAAAUCUCCAGCCUCACUUCUUUCGAGUUUCACAACCUUUACUAAGAUUUGGGUGCAGCAAAGUUCUCUAAAGGAUUCGUUUGAACCCCUGGCCAAUACCAAGCACCUAGAAUAUAUCAUUAUUGACAAGUGCAAGUGUCGAUGUGCCAACCUUGUGCAUCAAAAUUCAAUGUGUGCUCAAGGAUCCCAAGGCAAUGCUUACACUAAGGGGGAAGAACCUAAGUUUUAAGAGUAGUGGGAUUGUGAUAGAGUUGAAAGAGUUGAAAACAGUUGAGAGACAGUAAGAGAGGAAAACAGUAAGAAGAGUUGAAAGAAUUCUUCUGAAAUUAUUUGGACUGACCAGUUUCAAAGCGAAAGAAUCACACAAGCAGGGGCAAAGUUAAAGGGAACAAAUAAGUAAUGUAAGUUAAAGGGAACAAAUAAGUAAUGUACACAACAUCAAAGAAAAGCAAUAAAAUAUGGCUAUAGACAAAGAGUCCAGUUAUCCAAAUAUAAUUAUCCUUAGGAAGAGGUUUCAGGACAGUUAAGUAACCAAGCAGGCCUGAAUACAUGCUAGUAGUGCAUAGGAAUGGGGAAAAUACAUACAUUGAGAUGGGAAAGGGGGCUAGUGCACAUGCUAAUUCAAGCUAGGAAAACUAAUAAGUAUAUGCUAGUGGCAAUGAGAACAACAGAAACAUAAGUAAAAACACACAAGAAACAGGAAGAAGUGCAGGACUAAUAGAAGCAUGUUGUUUUGGAGGCUGUAACUUAAGGAAGUGACAUACCAACUGCAGAUAAUAGAAAAAAUAGCAAUGAGAAAUAGUUCACAAAUGAGAGAAAAGUGUGCAGAGAGUGUGUAGAGAGUGAAAUCAGCAGUUUGCAGAGAAGCAAGGAGCAGGCUAACGCUAGUAAAUAAUGCAGUAGAACCCCGGUAGUAGAAAUAAAUAGCCAAGAUUACUCAAUCUUGGCUUUAAGCCGAUUAAGUUUUCAAUAGAAGAAUGAGAGAGUUUGUAUAGAAACACUAGAGAAAGAGAGAGAACUGAGUGUUUUUGAAAGAGAGUUCACAGAGAAUCAGUCCCAAACAUAGUUUUCGAAAAAUAGUAGAGAAUAGGGUAAAGAGUAUAUAAUUAUAGAAACAGUACCAAAUUGAAUCAAUCACAAGUCCUAAUUCAACUAAAUCAGGGGCUCAUGAUUCGAAUAGGAGAAUAGGCUACCAAGUAAGGAAAGAAUAAGUCAGAUGACAGAUUAUACCAUAACAAAAGCAGCAAGCAUGCUGCAUGUAAUAGAGUCUAGGUAUACAAUGCUUCAAGUAAGGAAAAAUAAACGCAGGAUAGCCAAAAAAUAUACUUAAGUGCACAGUUAUGGUAACAAUAUAAAUUAACCAUGAAAAUCAAUCAAAGAAUCACGCGCAAGACCAAAAUAAGAGAGAAUCAGUCCCAAACAUAUAGAGCAAUCUCAUAAGUAAGGAAAUACUUUGAAAAAUCAAUGUAAGAACACCUAUGAAUCAGGGAUUCAAAAAGAUGCUCGGAAUUAAUAGAAUAUUCAGCAAAGAAAGGCAUUUGAAUUUAUUUAAGUACAACAAUCACAAAA